rnacentral:RNase_P_RNA from 1 species
AUUUUUGGAUAAUCGCAUGGUUGUUAGUCUUCCAUGAGGAAAGUCCAUGCUAGCACUGGCUGUGAUGCCAGUAGUGUUUGUGCUAGGUGAAUCAAUAAGCCUAGGGACUUGAUUCUCAAGUUACGGCGAGUGAACCGGCUAAGUCGUUGGAUAGGUCUUAGUAGCUCUGAAAGUGCCACAGUGACGGAGUUUUUAGGGAAACCUAAAAAGUGGAACGCGGUAAACCCCUCAAGCUAGCAACCCAAACUUUGGUAGG